UACAGAGGGUGCAAGCGUUAAUCGGAAUUACUGGGCGUAAAGCGUGCGUAGACGGUUAUGUAAGUCAGAUGUGAAAGCCCCGGGCUCAACCUGGGAAUUGCAUUUGAGACUGAAUAGCUAGGGUGCGGAAGAGGGAAGCGGAAUUUCCGGUGUAGCGGUGAAAUGCGUAGAUAUCGGAAGGAACACCAGUGGCGAAAGCGGCUUCCUGGUCCAGCACCGACGUUCAGGCACGAAAGCGUGGGGAGCAAACAGG
rnacentral:rRNA from 1 species